ACACAAGGCUAGUUUAGUCUUUUUAUAAAAAAAUAACAAAUAUACAAAAUUAUUAGUAUAUAUUAUAUGUAUAAAAAAAUCUUGUCUGCCUCUCUCUGUAGCUCUCUUUCUCUGUAGAUCUCUCUCACUACCUCUCCCACCGCCACCAUUAACCACCAACAGCCACCCUUAGCCACUACCCUCUACCACUCGCCAAUAUCACCAUCACGCCACGAUUCUCCUCGCUGAGACCCUAGUUGCGCCGCCGCCUUCAUCUCACCAUUACAGAUCGACGAAACCCUAACCCCAAACUGAUGCAACCCGUCCUCAUCAUCACAUCCGACGUCGUUCAAAUUUCCAGUUGCCGAAAACUGGAAGUUCUCCAUGUUCAAAACAAUAGACACAAGAUUUGUUCUUGAUGAUUCGACAACUGAUUGUGGAGGUGGGGUUGUAGAUCCAACAUUGGUGGUGGUCACAGGCUUAGGCUUAUGAAGGUGGUGGUAGUCAGGUCUUUGAUCCACGAGUCCGGUUUAGAAACUUUCAUGUAAAUGCAUAUCAGGUGCUCACGAAAUCCCCUUGUAUGGUUAAUGUUGUUGAUACGGAUGAAAUGUGUAAAAUGAAGAUAAUGUGGGAAAUGAAGAAAAUGUUCUUUUUUACUAUUAAA